UACAGAGGUCCCAAGCGUUGUUCGGAUUCACUGGGCGUAAAGGGCGCGUAGGCGGCUUAUCAAGUCAGGCGUGAAAUUCCCGGGCUCAACCUGGGGGCUGCGCUUGAUACUGAUUGGCUUGAAUGCGGGAGAGGAUAGUGGAAUUCCCAGUGUAGAGGUGAAAUUCGUAGAUACUGGGAAGAACACCGGUGGCGAAGGCGGCUAUCUGGCCCGUAAUUGACGCUGAGGCGCGAAAGCGUGGGGAGCAAACAGG
rnacentral:rRNA from 1 species